AUUGAACGCUGGCGGCAUGCCUUACACAUGCAAGUCGAACGGUAACGGGCCUUCGGGUGCCGACGAGUGGCGAACGGGUGAGUAAUGCAUCGGAACGUACCUUUCAGUGGGGGAGUAACGUAGCGAAAGUUAACGCUAAUACCGCAUAUUCUGUGAGCAGGAAAGGACAGGGGAGUCGCAAGACCUUGCGCUGAUUGAGCGGCCGAUGUCAGAUUAGCUAGUUGGUGAGGUAAAGGCUCACCAAGGCGACGAUCUGUAGCGGGUCGUGAGAGGAUGAUCCGCCACACUGGAACUGAGACACGGUCCAGACUCCUACGGGAGGGCAGCAGUGGGGGAAG
rnacentral:rRNA from 1 species